rnacentral:rRNA from 1 species
AGAACGAACGCUGGCGGCAGGCCUAAGUCAUGCAAGUUGAACGGCUGUAGCAAUACAGCAGUAGCGACGGGUGAGGUAAUGUAUGGGAACGUAUCUUCUAUGGGGAAUAUCUUUGGAAACGAAGAGCAAUACCGCAUAAGUCCUACGGGAGAAAGUCGCAAGACGCUAGAUGAGCGGCCCAGUAUUGGAUUAGGCUAGUUGGUUAGGUAAUGGCUGACCAAGGCAACGAUCCAUAGCUGGUCUAAGAGGACGAUCAGCCACAUUGGGACUGAGACACGGCCCAGACUCCUACGGGAGGCAGCAGUCAGGAAUAAUUGGACAAUGGGGGCAACCCUGAUCCAAGCCAUGCCGCGUGAGUGUUAAGGUCUUCGGAUUGUAAAGCUCUUUUGUGUGGGAAAAUGAUGAUGGUACCACAAGAAUAAGCACCGGCUAACUUCGUGCCAGCCGCGGC